ACCCAAUGUCUGUUUCCUUAUAAAAAGAGAGAGAUUUAGAGAAACACAAAGAGACAGAGGGAGAGACAAUGGAAGCAGAGAUUUUAGUAAUACAGUUUCCAGCCAAGGAACGUUCAAAAUGGCCAACAACCACCAGAAGUUAGGAAGAGGCAAGGAAGGAUGCUUCUGGAGAACCUGCAGAGAGGGCAUGGCCCUUCCCAACACCUUGAUUUUGGACUUCUAGCCUCAAAAUGGGGAGGUCCUUAAAAUUGGAGAAUCUUUCCCAGCUUUGGUCAAAGAGAGAGAUGUGACUGUGGGAGAAUGAUUAGAGAUGCAACAUUGCUGGUCUGAAGAUGGAGGACGGGUCCAGGAGACCAGGAA
rnacentral:lncRNA from 1 species